rnacentral:rRNA from 1 species
AAAGAAACCAACAGGGAUUGCCCUAGUAACGGCGAGUGAAGCGGCAACAGCUCAAAUUUGAAAUCUGGCUUCGGCCCGAGUUGUAAUUUGCAGAGGAUGUUUCUGGCGCGGUGCCUUCCGAGUUCCCUGGAACGGGACGCCACAGAGGGUGAGAGCCCCGUAUGGUUGGACACCAAGCCUGUGUGAAACUCCUUCGACGAGUCGAGUAGUUUGGGAAUGCUGCUCAAAAUGGGAGGUAAAUCUCUUCUAAAGCUAAAUACCGGCCAGAGACCGAUAGCGCACAAGUAGAGUGAUCGAAAGAUGAAAAGCACCUUGAAAAGGGGGUUAAACAGUACGUGAAAUUGUUGAAAGGGAAGCGCUUGUGACCAGACUUGCGCCGGGCGGUUCAUCCGGGGUUCUCCCCGGUGCACUCCGCCCGGCUCAGGCCAGCAUCGGUUUUCGUUGGGGGAUAAGACCGGCAGGAACGUGGCCCUCCUUCGGGUGGGUGUUAUAGCCUGCCGUACGAUACCCUGACGGGGACCGAGGUUCGCGCUCCGCAAGGAUGCUGGCGUAAUGGUCAUCAGCGACCCGUCUUGAACCACCGGACCAAAUGUA